CAAAAAAGUCCAGGAUCAGAUGGCUUCACUGAUUAUACUAAAUUAUACCAAACUUUCAAAGAGGAACUAACACCAAUUUUCCUUAAAGUAUUCCAAAAAUUUGAGGUAAUUCUCUCCUGUGUCCCUCCCACAACAUGUGGGAAUUCUGGGAGAUACAAUUCAAGUUGAGAUUUGGUGGGGAAACAGCCAAACCAUAUCAUUCCACCUUUGGCCCCUCCAAAUCUCAUGUCCUCAUAUUUCAGGGCAGAUCCCAACAGGGAUGCCUUGUGUCCGUGAUUGUAUUUUCCAAAAAUAACUGCAAGGGUACUUCCCAUCCUUCAUGUUCUUCUGCAAUAUGUCCUUGCUAUGCCCCAUCAAAAAGUGAGGCUGGCAUUAGGAACUCAAAGGUGGAAGGGAAGCUGUGUAUCUUUCAAAGCUUGGUCAGUAUAGUCCAUACCAUUUGCAUCCAUUGGUUGAGGAUCACUUGUUCUCUGAGUAUUCCCUCUUGGGAGGCUCCAUCUCAAAAUCCUUUUGCUAUUCCAUGAGAUGCCCAAGCCAGAGGCCUCAUGUCCCAGCUCUACUUGGCAGUCACAGUUCACCUCCUACCUUUUAUUCUUCUGACUCACACUCUUAUUAGAGAGACAGUUAUUAGAGAAAAGCUCUUUGGGCAUAGUGCUGUUUCUUAUCAUUGAGGAGGUUUUGUAAUCCUCCUAAGGAUUUUUAAUCCUCCUAAGGAGGAGAUUUUGUAAAGAAGAAAUGCUCUUU
rnacentral:lncRNA from 1 species